UUACCUACCCUUGACAUGUCCGGAAGCCUGCUGAAAGGCGGGGGUGCUCGAAAGAGAACCGGAACACAGGUGCUGCAUGGCUGUCGUCAGCUCGUGUCGUGAGAUGUUGGGUUAAGUCCCGCAACGAGCGCAACCCUUGUCCUUAGUUGCUACGCAAGGGCACUCUAAGGAGACUGCCGGUGACAAACCGGAGGAAGGUGGGGAUGACGUCAAGUCCUCAUGGCCCUUAUGGGUAGGGCUUCACACGUCAUACAAUGGUCGGUACAGAGGGUCGCCAACCCGCGAGGGGGAGCCAAUCCCAGAAAGCCGAUCGUAGUCCGGAUCGCAGUCUGCAACUCGACUGCGUGAAGUCGGAAUCGCUAGUAAUCGUGGAUCAGCAUGUCACGGUGAAUACGUUCCCGGGUCUUGUACACACCGCCCGUCACACCAUGGGAGCGGGAUGUACCAGAAGUAGGUAGGCUAACCGCAAGGAGGCCGCUUACCACGGUGCGUUUCGUGACUGGGGUGAAGUCGUAACAAGGUAACC
rnacentral:rRNA from 1 species